rnacentral:rRNA from 1 species
GUGAGUAACACGUAGGAACGUACCCCAAAGUGAGGCAUAAGCACCAGAAAUGGUGUCUAAUACCGCAUGUGCUCUUCGGAGUAAAGCUACGGCGCUUUGGGAACGGCCUGCGCAUGAUUAGCUUGUUGGUGAGGUAAUAGCUCACCAAGGCGACGAUCAUUAGCUGGUCUGAGAGGAUGACCAGCCAGACUGGGACUGAGAACGGCCCAG